rnacentral:rRNA from 1 species
GGCUCAGGAUGAACGCUAGCUACAGGCUUAACACAUGCAAGUCGAGGGGCAUCAGGAAGAAAGCUUGCUUUCUUUGCUGGCGACCGGCGCACGGGUGAGUAACACGUAUCCAACCUGCCCUUUACUCGGGGAUAGCCUUUCGAAAGAAAGAUUAAUACCCGAUAGCAUAAUGAUUCCGCAUGGUUUCAUUAUUAAAGGAUUCCGGUAAAGGAUGGGGAUGCGUUCCAUUAGGUUGUUGGUGAGGUAACGGCCCACCAAGCCUUCGAUGGAUAGGGGUUCUGAGAGGAAGGUCCCCCACAUUGGAACUGAGACACGGUCCAAACUCCUACGGGAGGCAGCAGUGAGGAAUAUUGGUCAAUGGGCGCUAGCCUGAACCAGCCAAGUAGCGUGAAGGAUGAAGGCUCUAUGGGUCGUAAACUUCUUUUAUAUAAGAAUAAAGUGCAGUAUGUAUACUGUUUUGUAUGUAUUAUAUGAAUAAGGAUCGGCUAACUCCGUGCCAGCAGCCGCGGUAAUACGGAGGAUCCGAGCGUUAUCCGGAUUUAUUGGGUUUAAAGGGAGCGUAGGUGGACUGGUAAGUCAGUUGUGAAAGUUUGCGGCUCAACCGUAAAAUUGCAGUUGAUACUGUCAGUCUUGAGUACAGUAGAGGUGGGCGGAAUUCGUGGUGUAGCGGUGAAAUGCUUAGAUAUCACGAAGAACUCCGAUUGCGAAGGCAGCUCACUGGACUGCAACUGACACUGAUGCUCGAAAGUGUGGGUAUCAAACAGGAUUAGAUACCCUGGUAGUCCACACAGUAAACGAUGAAUACUCGCUGUUUGCGAUAUACAGUAAGCGGCCAAGCGAAAGCAUUAAGUAUUCCACCUGGGGAGUACGCCGGCAACGGUGGAACUCAAAGGAAUUGACGGGGGCCCGCACAAGCGGAGGAACAUGUGGUUUAAUUCGAUGAUACGCGAGGAACCUUACCCGGGCUUAAAUUGCAGUGGAAUGAUGUGGAAACAUGUCAGUGAGCAAUCACCGCUGUGAAGGUGCUGCAUGGUUGUCGUCAGCUCGUGCCGUGAGGUGUCGGCUUAAGUGCCAUAACGAGCGCAACCCUUAUCUUUAGUUACUAACAGGUUAUGCUGAGGACUCUAGAGAGACUGCCGUCGUAAGAUGUGAGGAAGGUGGGGAUGACGUCAAAUCAGCACGGCCCUUACGUCCGGGGCUACACACGUGUUACAAUGGGGGGUACAGAAGGCAGCUAGCGGGUGACCGUAUGCUAAUCCCAAAAUCCUCUCUCAGUUCGGAUCGAAGUCUGCAACCCGACUUCGUGAAGCUGGAUUCGCUAGUAAUCGCGCAUCAGCCACGGCGCGGUGAAUACGUUCCCGGGCCUUGUACACACCGCCCGUCAAGCCAUGGGAGCCGGGGGUACCUGAAGUACGUAACCGCAAGGAUCGUCCUAGGGUAAAAC